AGAUCCACACGUAUAACCGCCUUCCAGCCCUCCUCUGUGUAGCAGGCCCUUCCUGUCAGAUGCCCGAGAAUCUGGUCCCCACAGACAGCGCUGAGCAGAGAACUGAGGUCUGGAGGAGGACGACAGUGGAGGACCUGAGGGGGGUCGUCCAACGCCGGAGCUGCUUCUGGAUGGGAGCUGGCAGGCUCCUGCGAUGCUGGGUGAAGACCUUUGACAGUCCUGGGCUUCUCUGAACCACCAGGGAGCGGGCGACAAGAGGUUGGUUCUUAAUGUCUGCCGGUGGCUGGGUCGUGGCGGUGGGGCCUCGACACCGUGACCCGAUUUCCCCCUCGGGCGAGUGCACACGGUCCAGGCCGGGUGAUCCUCCCGCCGAAGCGGCCUCCUUUUCGUCUUCCAUUUCAAGUGUGUUUUCUCAGCUGACUGGGUCGUGGGUGAAGUGACAUCACCAUCUGAUCCACAUCUGAAAACAUUCUGGCUCAGUGAAAACAGAGCGAUCUGGAACAGGCUCCCUUAAUUGCAUUUGACCAUUUCGGCAGCUGCCUGCACACCCGGGGAGCCGGCCGUUCUGCAAUUUGUUUUGAAAACAAGCUUUUCAGUCUCUCGGCUGCGAGGAUUCUGUGUGAAGGGUGUACACUGUGAAUCACAGUUUCAAAGGAAGACAGCAAACACAGAUCACAGCCAAGUGAUUUGUAAAACUGGAUCGCUGACAGAAAUCCGGGAAGCAGCAAAAAAACAAGCAAGCACAAAGACACAGUCAAGCACCCGGUGGGAGUCGGCAUGCACCCAGGGAGGGGGCCCAGGGUGAGGGGCUGGGAGCCCGGGGUCUGGGCCCAGGGUGCUGGGCUCGCCCGCGCUGGGGACACGAGCCACCUUCCACUGCUCCUAGCAGGUGUUCAGUUCAUCCAGGGAACAGGGAACAGAAUGUCUCUUCAAUUAGAUCCAAUUAGACUCACUUAAUUUUAUUCUCUAAUUGAAGUGUAGUUGAUUUACAGUGUUGUGUUAGUUUCAGGUGUACAGCAGGGUGACUCGGGUACACACACACACGUAUAUAUUCUUCUUCAGGGUCUUUUUCAUUGUAGGCU